UAUCAAAUGUCAGAACUGUGCACACUUGGUA
rnacentral:piRNA from 1 species